GUGUGUUUCUGUCUUCAGGGAACUCACUCAUACACUAAAACUGGAGCAGAAGAGAGGAGAUUAUCACGGUGCCUGUGCAAGGAUGACAUUCAGAUCAGUGAACCCGCCCAGAGUUUA
rnacentral:snRNA from 1 species